ACAACACAAAAAUGGACAUAGAUCGAGUGGUAUAGUGAAAAUUU
rnacentral:guide_RNA from 1 species